rnacentral:ncRNA from 1 species
CAAAGGUUUGGUCCUAGCCUUAUUAUCAACUGUUUCCUAAUUUACACAUGCAAGUCUCAGCAUACCAGUGAGAACGCCCUUUCAUCCUAUGCCAGGCUAAGGAGCUGGCAUCAGGCACGGACCCCUUGCCCACAACGCCUAGUCUCACCACACCCCCAAGGGUACUCAGCAGUGAUAAAUCUUGUGCAUAAGCGUCAGCUUGACUCAGUUAAGGAAUAGAGAGCCGGCCAACCCGGUGCCAGCCGCCGCGGCUACCCCGUGGGGCUCAAGUUGAUAGUCGUCGGCGUUAAGCGUGAUUAAAGUCCCUACAAAUUAAGGUCAAAUUAAUACUCGGUAGUUUAAAGCUUGAUAUUAAGAAGAACACAAACGAAAGUUACCCUAAUUAUACUUGAAUCCACGACAGCUGGGUCACAAACUGGGAUUAGAUACCCCACUAUGCCCAACCGUAAACAAUAAAUUUACACCAACAACGCCAGGGAAUUACGAGCCAUGCUUAAAACCCAAAGGACUUGACGGUUUCCCACCCCACUAGAGGAGCCUGUUCUAUAAUCGAUGAUCCCCGCUACACCUAGCCAUUCCUCGCUUAUCAGUCUGUAUACCUCCGUCGAAAGCUUACCGUAUGAGCGUCUGCAGUAGGCUUAAUGAUUUUCAUCAACACGUCAGGUCAAGGUGCAGCUUAAGGAAAGGAAAGUAAUGGGCUACAAUUUCUAAAUUAGAACAAACGAAAGACUAAGUGAAAUCUUAAUCAUGAAGGCGGAUUUAGUAGUAAAAAGAAAAUAGAGUGUUCUUUUUAAUCCGGCUCUGGGACGCGUACACACCGCCCGUCACCCUCUUCAAUAGUUUAAUAACUGUUUCUAACCACUACCACACGUCUUAGAAGAGGCAAGUCGUAACAUGGUAAGUGUACUGGAAAGUGCACUUGGAAUAUAA